rnacentral:rRNA from 1 species
AACAGGAUUAGAUACCCUGGUAGUCCACGCCGUAAACGAUGUCGACUAGCCGUUGGGUCCUUCGCGGACUUUGUGGCGCAGUUAACGCGAUAAGUCGACCGCCUGGGGAGUACGGCCGCAAGGUUAAAACUCAAAUGAAUUGACGGGGGCCCGCACAAGCGGUGGAGCAUGUGGUUUAAUUCGAUGCAACGCGAAGAACCUUACCUACCCUUGACAUCCUGCGAACCCUUCGGAGACGAAGGGGUGCCUUCGGGAGCGCAGAGACAGGUGCUGCAUGGCUGUCGUCAGCUCGUGUUGUGAAAUGUUGGGUUAAGUCCCGUAACGAGCGCAACCCUUGUCCCUAUUUGCCAGCGAUUCGGUCGGGAACUCUAGGGAGACUGCCGGUGACAAACCGGAGGAAGGUGGGGACGACGUCAAGUCAUCAUGGCCCUUACGGGUAGGGCUACACACGUGCUACAAUGGUCGGUACAAAGGGUUGCGAGCUCGCGAGAGCAAGCCAAUCCCAGAAAGCCGAUCUCAGUCCGGAUCGGAGUCUGCAACUCGACUCCGUGAAGUCGGAAUCGCUAGUAAUCGUGAAUCAGAAUGUCACGGUGAAUACGUUCCCGGGCCUUGUACACACCGCCCGUCACACCAUGGGAGUGGACUGCACCAGAAGUGGUUAGCCUAACCUUCGGGAGGGCGAUCACCACGGUGUGGUUCAUGACUGGGGUGAAGUCGUAACAAGGUAACC